GCACAAAGGAAGAAAUUUUCACCAUUAUCCCUACACAGUGAGUUCUUAUUUUUCUCUCUCUGCAGGAUCCUUUCCUCUAGGGUGGGAGAUGAAUCCUUCACAAAAAAGCAAUAAAGAUUUUAUGCAAGAAAAUAAAAGAAAAUUUGGAAUGCAAGAUUAUAUACAAAAGGAGGUAAACUGAGAAGAAGAUGGGGAUUAAAUCCCCUAAAAUGGACUCACUAGAGGGCUCUCAAGUCUGUAUCCCUUGGAGAAGUCACAAACUGAGACAGAUGUGCUGCUGCCUGGAAUUGUUGUGUUAUCAGUGAUAUCUUUUCUCAUUGCGCUGCUACAAAAGGAGAGUGAACACAUCUCAAAACCAAGGGGACUUCCCUGUUGGUACAGUGGAUAAUAAUUCACCUGCCAGUGCAGGGGACAUGGGUUCAAUCCCUGGUCUGGGAAACUUCCACCUGCCACAGAGCAACUAAAGCCCAUGAACCUCAAUUACUGAGCCCGCAUACUGCAAGUACUAAAGCCUGUGCACCUAGAGCCUGUGUGCCACGGCAAGAGAAACCACCACAGUGAGAAACCCAUCCACUGCUACAAAGAUCAGCUCCUGCUCACUGCACCAGAGAAAGCUUGUGUGCAGCAAUGAAGACCCAGCAUAACCAAAAAAAAAAAAGAAAAAAAGGAUAGGCUGCAUUUCUGAAUGAAUUUGUGCUGAACACAUGGAAUGGAAGCAAAAGUAAGAGCCAAGUUUUAUGAGAAGAAAAGAGAGUUUUGUUUCAUUUGUUUGGUUAGAGAUUUUGUUUUCUGAAAUUCAAAAAACUUGACUUUUCUAAGCAAGAGGAAAACUAAAAGCUAGAUUUUUGAGUUUUAAAAAUAAACAAU
rnacentral:lncRNA from 1 species